rnacentral:lncRNA from 7 species
GGUGGGAUGCAGAGCUGCCGGCAGCACCUCGGUGCCAACGCUGCUCCUCUCCCUUCACACAGGCUCAUGCGGCCGUGGAGAAGUGCAAGGCCGUGGCCAGGGAAUCCUUGAUGAAGGAUGCCCAGAAAUUACGGGCAGAAAGAACAGCUGCCAGGAAAGAGAAGCUGAAGCAGGAGAAGCAGCUCGUUGCCCAGCUGGAACAGCAGCUGCAGGCUGAGACAGAGGAGAUGGAGGUGCUGCGCCAGGAAAAACAGCACCUGCAAGAGGAGCGGGAGGAGCUGGAGCUGGAGGGUGCCUGGCAGCAGCAUCAGCUGGAGCUGGAGGCAGCCCACGUGCCUGGGGCUGUGCUGCCGGAGCUGGUGGAGGCAGAGCUGGAGAAGAAGGAGCAGGCGAGGAGACGAGGGCUCGCCUUCUGGAUGAAGACAAUCUGCCUCAUCUUCGUCAGCCUCCUGCUGCUGCUCGUUGCCGUGCUGGGCUCUGCAGUGCUGUACGCCCAGCACUAUGACCAGGAGCUGUUGUAUCGGCUCCUGCUGCGAGUGCUGCCCCAGGCAAUGUACGCUUCCCCGGCGUACUUUGCGAGCAGGAGCCUGCGUGUCGUCUGUGAUGGGCUGCUGCCCAUCUGACCGCCCCUCUCAGUCCCCCCUCCCAGCUCGGGGCUGCGCAGUGGUGGGGUGCAGGGAGAGAGCUCUGUCCCCACGGAAGGGGCCUCUCCUGUGCUCCUGCCCCCAGGGGCGCACAGGCACAGCUGUGGGGCAGUGCCGGCAGGCGGCUGAGUGCUGGACUUUGGACUUACAAAUAAGUUGGUACUGUCGUCGUCAACUGAACACCACCACCUCCGACGACCCAUCAGACUGAAGAUGUGCACCUGACGCCAGGACGUGGCUUCUUGGAUUCUUUGAGUCUUCGUAGCAGCCAUUUCCUUCAGCUGGUUACCUGUAAGGCUUAUGAAUUGUAAUUAGCCCAUUAGGCAAUGUUACCUCCAGUGGGCUGUUGUCAGUUGUUAAGAAUGCUGUCAAUAAAUGGAUGUGU